GAUUCCCCUAGUAACGGCGAGUGAAGAGGGAAGAGCCCAAGAUUGAAAGCUGGCGCCUUCGGCGUCCGCAUUGUAAUCUCAAGAAGUGUUUUCCGCUUCGGACCAUGCCUAAGUCCCUUGGAAAAGGGCAUCAUAGAGGGUGAUAAUCCCGUACAUGGCAUGGAGCGCCCGAAGCUUUGUGAUACGCUUUCUAAGAGUCGAGUUGUUUGGGAAUGCAGCUCAAAAUGGGUGGUAAAUGCCAUCUAAGGCUAAAUAUUGGGGAGAGACCGAUAGCGAACAAGUACAGUGAUGGAAAGAUGAAAAGAACUUUGAAAAGAGAGUUAAACAGUACGUGAAAUUGCCAAAAGGGAAGGGUAGGAGGUCAGAGAUGCGUCGCAGGAUUCAGCCUUGCUUUUGCUUGGUGUUUUUCCUGCGUUGCAGGCCAACGUCGGUUUUGGGCACUGGAGAAGGGUAGGAGGAACGUGGCACCUCUCGGGGUGUGUUAUAGCCUCCUACUGGAUACAGCGACCGAGACCGAGGAACGCAGCGUACUCGUAAGAGCGGGCCUUUUGGCACCUUUACGCUUAGGGCGUUGGCAUAAUGGCCCUCUACCACCCGUCUUGAA
rnacentral:rRNA from 1 species